GAAUUGUGAAGAUAUCUC
rnacentral:sRNA from 1 species